rnacentral:rRNA from 1 species
CAGAAUUGGUACCUUCAGUUCGGCUGGCUUUCACACAGGUGCUGCAUGGCUGUCGUCAGCUCGUGUCGUGAGAUGUUGGGUUAAGUCCCGCAACGAGCGCAACCCUUAUCGUUAGUUACUAACAGUUCGGCUGAGGACUCUAGCGAAACUGCCGGUGAUAAGCCGGAGGAAGGUGGGGAUGACGUCAAGUCCUCAUGGCCCUUACACGCUGGGCUACACACGUGCUACAAUGGUAUUUACAAUGGGACGCAAUAUCGCGAGGUGGAGCAAAUCCCCAAAAAAUAUCUCAGUUCGGAUUGCACUCUGCAACUCGAGUGCAUGAAGUUGGAAUUACUAGUAAUCGUGGAUCAGCAUGCCACGGUGAAUACGUUCCCGGGUCNUUGUAC